rnacentral:misc_RNA from 1 species
AACCUUAUGGACCUGCGGGCGUAUACCUGCGGAAGGAUCAUUAUCAAAACAGCGGCCUUCGGGCCUUGCUGCACCCUUGUCUUUUGCGCACCGUAUUGUUUCCUCGGCGGGCUUGCCUGCCGGUUGGACAUUAUCAAACCUUUUUGUAGUUGCAAUCAGCGUCAGAAAAACAAUAAUUAUUACAACUUUCAACAACGGAUCU